AACUAACGCUGGCGGCGUGCCUAACACAUGCAAGUCGUACGAGAAAGUUGGCUUCGGCUGAUGAGUAAAGUGGCGCACGGGUGAGUAACGCGUGGAUAACUCUGCCUUUUAGUUGGGAAUAACGUACCGAAAGGUGCGCUAAUACCGGAUAAUACUGCAUAACUACUGUUGUGUAGUCAAAGAAGGCCUCUGUUUACAAGCUUUUGCUGAAGAUGAGUCCGCGUACCAUUAGCUAGUUGGUAGGGUAAUGGCCUACCAAGGCUACGAUGGUUAGCUCGGUCUGAGAGGAUGAUCAGCCACACUGGAACUGAGACACGGUCCAGACUCCUACGGGAGGCAGCAGUGAGGAAUAUUGCGCAAUGGGGGCAACCCUGACGCAGCAACGCCGCGUGAGUGAGGAAGGUUUUCGGACCGUAAAGCUCUGUCGAGCGGGAAGAAAUGUAUCGUGGCUAAUAUCCAUGAUAUUGACGGUACCGCUAAGGAAGCACCGG
rnacentral:rRNA from 1 species